GGAGUGGUUGUGGUGCUUUACACGAACCCAGCUUGGAAACCGGGGGCUCGGGAAGAGGGAAACCACGGCUCUGCAUCUGUCACUGACACACAUUGGGUUCAGCACCAUAUUCAGCCAGGAUGGAUAUUAGGAAAUUGAGUUCAGGUUGGAUAUAAAGAAAGAUUUCUUCUCAGAAAGAGCGGUGCUUCAGUGGCACAGGCUGCACAGGGAGGUGGUGGGGUCACCGUCCCUGGAGGUGUUCCAGAGCCGUGUGGAUGUGGCACUGAGGACGUGGUCAGUGGGCAUGGGGGGAUGGGCUGGCGGUUGGACUGGGUGAUCUUAGAGGCCUUUUCCAGCCUUAAUGAUUCCAUGAUUCUAUGAUUCUAUGAUUCUGUAAGCCUUGGCAUGAGCGCUGGAGCAGCUCUCUUCAAGGGGAAAGUCUGGGGCCAAGGACGGCUGCAGGUGGAGACACCGGGAUGAAGCAUAGGGACACCACGAUACAUCCUGCAGGCUGAGGUGGGAACGUUCCUUUUCUCCUGGCCUUAAGUUUCCCUCCCCUCCAUGCAUAUCUAAGCUGGUGAGGCAAAAAAAUGCCCUGCUCCCCCCUCUCUCCUUGCAGAAAUAGAGUCGGACUUGGAAUUCCCCUCUGUCUCAUGGCUGGGGACACAGGGUCUCGCUGGUGAUCUCAGCCCAGCAGAAACCUUUCUGUGCUGAGAGCAGGCAGCAGCGGAGCAGGAGGCUGGGAAGGAGGAGGGGAGCCAUGGCAGGAAACCAAGAACACAUCAGACACUCUAAAUUUAGAUCUUUUUAUUCAGCUCGGACAAUAUUCCUUGAUUUCUCAUUGUUCGGCGGAGGGCAGAGGGCAGGGGAUCUAUUGAAAGGCUUUGUCCUGAGAGAUGCCACUUUGUCUGGGCACAGGGGGGUGGAGGAGCCGCAGAUUGGGGCGGAUGGGGGCUCCCAUCCCACCGCUCCAGCGAUGCUCGGGCACCUGUGCAGUCCCACUACCCUCAGGGUACCCCCCGUGCC
ensembl:lncRNA